GAUGAACGCUGGCGGCGUGCUUAACACAUGCAAGUCGAACGAUGAAGCCCAGCUUGCUGGGUGGAUUAGUGGCGAACGGGUGAGUAACACGUGAGUAACCUGCCCUUAACCCUGGGUUAAGCCUGGGAAACUGGUUUUAUUCCCGAAUAGGAGCGUCCCCCGCUGGGUGGGUGUUGGAGGGAUUUAUCGGUUUUGGAUGGACUCGCGGCCUAUCAGCUUGUUGGUGAGGUAAUGGCUCACCAAGGCGACGACGGGUAGCCGGCCUGAGAGGGUGACCGGCCACACUGGGACUGAGACACGGCCCAGACUCCUACGGGAGGCAGCAGUGGGGAAUAUUGCACAAUGGGCGCAAGCCUGAUGCAGCGACGCCGCGUGAGGGAUGACGGCCUUCGGGUUGUAAACCUCUUUCAGUAGGGAAGAAGCGAAAGUGACGGUACCUGCAGAAGAAGCACCGGCUAACUACGUG
rnacentral:rRNA from 1 species